GGGCAGUGUUAAAAAUGACCUCAGGAGGGGAAAGAAGACGUGUACUGUGAGACAAGCAAACACGCAGCUUAUCCUUCAGGAUUGCCAGGAACCUGGAGCGUAUCCCAGGGAGCAUCGGGCACAAGGCGGGGUACAUCCUGGAUGGGGUGCCAAUUCAUUGGAGGGCACAAUCACAUACGCAUUCACACCCAUUUGUACACUGACUUGGACAUGCCAGUCAGCCUACCAUGCAUGUCUUUGGACUGGGGGAGGAAACUGGAGUACCCGGAGGAAACCCCCAGAGCACAGGGAGAACAUAUAAACUCCACACACACAGGGAGUGUGCAGAAUCAAACCCCCAAUCCUGGAGAUGUGAGACGAACGUGCUAACCACUAAACCACCGUGCGCCAUAAAAGUAUGCAUGUUGUUAAGACUUAGGGGUCAGGCGCAAUGCUAUAGCAAUAAAUCUCACCUCAGUGAUGGUUUCUAGCUAACAAAUUCCAGAUUAUUUACCGUUUCACAAAGCUGUGAUAUAUGAGGUUCUCAGAUGUUUCCAUUUUCCACUUCAAUAUCUGGAUCUCCAUCAGCCACCAGGGCCACAACGUGUUUCCUCUGAGACACAUGAAAUCAUCCGCUGCAUCGUUCCCAACCGACGCUAAUGUAAUAUUAUAGCAGGACACUGCUAACUGAGAGUCUCAAAACACUGUGAAGUUCAUUUUGUACAAAUCUGUAGGAGGGUCAGGUCUUUUUCUGUGAGACGCCAUGUGAGAAAACCAUAAACCAUACACUCUGCCUGAGGAACGUGUUGAAAGUUAAUCCUCUGUCUCAUAGCCUUUUUUUUAUUUUUAUUUAAGUAUUCAUAUCUGAGUCCAUGGCGAUUCAUACUCAUGAUUACAUUUUCUCAGCUAAUGUAGUGAAACUCACGUUAUGUAACAUUCUAGCAUUGUUAGCUCAUCAGGAACGUCUAGUGAGGUUUGUAUCCCAGCUGCGAAGCUAAUGCGCAAUUACGGUUGAAAUGCAAUGAAAUGAAACACAGUUAUUCACGCACCGGCCACUUUAAUAAGAACGCCUGUACACUAAAACUUAUCCAGUUGGAUAUAAAAGACCUGAUGAAGUUUUCCGAUCUUCAACUGUCCCAGUUUUGGCGAGCCUGUGCCCACUCAACUCUGUACACUAUCGGUGAGAGAGGUCAGAGGAGAAUGUCCAGACUGGUUCGAGCUGACAGGAAGGUUACGGUAACUCGAAUUAUCACUCUUUACAACCGUGGUGAGGAGAAAAGCAUCUCAGAACGCACAACACGGUGAACCUUGAGGCAGAUGGGCUAUAAGAGCAGAACACCACAUUGGGUUCCAUGUUGAGAGUCAACCAAGAACAUGAAUCUGGGCACACACUCGCAGUAUUCAGUCCCUCGAUCGCAUAAAAGAAUGCAACAUCCGGAGGAGUUCGCACUUUUUCGAAACGAACGCAGAUAUUCCGCGGGUUUGGGCCGAGACGCGUCAUGUGACGUCAUCGUGAUGCGCGUUCAGCCAAAGCCCUCUUCGAGUCAUGUGCAUUGAACAUGAGUACAGCUAAAAGGUCUCAUUUACCAGCAAUUUCCUGCAAAUGCGAUUUCGACAGUUCAAGUAGUUUUCCGCAGAAAAAAGCAAAUCGCAUCGCAAAUUUUGACAAAAGCCGCAGCAAAAUCAAGGUUUUUUUGUCCGCGACAAUCAUAAAAUAAUAAAUAAAUUCUGUACGGAGUGAAUGUACAGUGGUGCAAUACUAAGGAUGUAGAAGAGCUGGUAUUCUAUAUCUAAUCUAGUGCACUGAUAUAGGGAGUAUAGCUGAAUCCCACACAUCUCCUUUCUGGAACAUAGAGCACUCACUGCGUAGGGUAUAAAAGUGUGUGUGUGUGUGUGUGUGUGUGUGUGUGUGUGUGUGUGUGUGUAAGAGAAAUUAGCAAAAAGAAAUGAAAAGGGUAAAUGAAUUUAACUGUCAUAACAGCUGUGUGUGUGUGUGUGUGUGUGUGUGUGUGUGUGUGUGUGUGUGUGUGUGUGUGUGUGUGUGUGUGUGUGUGUAAGAGAAAUUAGCAAAAAGAAAUGAAAAGGGCAAAUGAAUUUAACUGUCAUAACAGCUGGAUUAGUUCAAUUUCUGUAUAAAAACAUGACAUACAGAAAUGUACUAAAGUCGUUCAGACUGAGCUGUGUGGGUAUGUGUGUGUGUGUGUGUGUGUGUGUGUGUUUGACAUUAUCUCUUUUCACUCUGAAAUGCCAAGACUGCAGCAGUAAUGCUCCAUGGCAUCCUGAAAACCUUUAUACCGAUCAACACACACACACACACACACACACACACACACACACACACACACACACAGAGUUAAGUAUAGUCCAUUUCAGUAUGCUGUGUUUACUAAGGUAUUGUACACAGGAAUGCCUUAGUGGUGUUAAAGGGUUGCGCUGGGCUUUGACCAUUAAAGAAGGAAUUUUGGGGGAAAAUUUCUAUUUCCCAAUCUGCUUUUUAUUUUAUUUUAUUUAUUUAUGCACAAAGUAUGUAAACCCACAAAGUAUGUAAAUCUCCUGUAAUAUAGGAGUUCAGUUAUAUAUACUAUUAUAGUCCACCUGAUGUGUCUAUGGUUUAUCUCACAUAAACUGCAGUUUUAGAAGCAUGUCCUUAUAUAAUCUAUGGUUUUAGAAGCAUGACUGGUUUAAAAAAAAUUGUUUCCUUGUCUAAACUUUAAGUUUGAGAAGCAUGCAUUGACCUAAGCUACAGUUUCAGUUUGAGGAGCUUCAGGUGAAGGAGCUUGCAUCAGUUAAACUAAGUGUAACAACCCCUUAUUCUGUAAAAAAAAAAAGAGAUAUGUGAGAAAUCAGUGAUGACUUACCUCGGGAUGUGUCUGAUGAGAGGAAAAGCAGUGAAACUGUUCUGUCAGUGUACAAGGGAACUGAGAAGGUCUAUUCAGCACUCUAUGAAAGAGGAGAUGAAUUAGGGUUGCCAUGUUGGAAGGGAUCCUCCUCUGUCAUUGCUAGUUGGAGUCAUACAUUAAUUUGUUCAGUUAUCUUCAUUAACUGCUUUAUAUUGGUUAAGCUUUGGAAGGUCAUUAGUUCAAAUCCUGACAUCACUUCACCAAGCUGCCAAUGCUCGGCUGUGUGUUGUUUGUUUUGUUUUUUU
ensembl:lncRNA